rnacentral:sRNA from 1 species
UAUCACGAAAACAACGAUAGCCCUACCUCUCUAUCAUUCUUGCGGCUCCGUGGCCGCGCCAGUGAGAAUUCGUGUUUCCUUCCAGCAG